GAUGAACACUAGCGGCAGGCUUAAUACAUGCAAGUCGAGGGGCAGCACGGUUAGCAAUAACUGGUGGCGACCGGCGCACGGGUGCGUAACACGUAUACAAUCUACCUUAAACAGGGGGAUAGCCUUUCGAAAGAGAGAUUAAUACCCGUAAUAAAUUGAACGGCAUCGUUUGCUUUUGAAAGCUCCGGCGGUUUGAGAUGAGUAUGCGUCUGAUUAGCUAGUUGGUGAGGUAACGGCUCACCAAGGCGACGAUCAGUAGGGGAUCUGAGAGGACUAACCCCCCACACUGGUACUGAGACACGGACCAGACUCCUACGGGAGCAGCAGUAAGGAAUAUUGGUCAAUGGAGGCAACUCUGAACCAGCCAUGCCGCGUGCAGGAUGACGGCCCUAUGGGUUGUAAACUGCUUUUAUACAAGAGAAAACCCUGGUACGUGUACCAGGUUGAUAGUAUUGUAAGAAUAAGCAUCGGCUAACUUCGUGCCAGCAGCCGCGGUAAU
rnacentral:rRNA from 1 species